ACAUUUUCGAAACUUGAAAUUCCCACAAAAUUUCCUCAUGAAAGCAGUUAGAAAGCAAAAAUUCAUUCUGUAAACUAAUUUCAAUACGCUGCGGAGUCGACUGCAAGUAGAUUUCAAGUAGUUUUGGAGCCUUCAGCAAGUUUUUGGAAAUUACUGGAGCCUCCAGUAAAUUUUUGAAACUUGCAAUUUCUACAAAUAGAUUUUGUGGCAUUUUUUGAAAAACAUAAGUUUUUAAAAAUCUGCUGGAGACUCCAAAACGGAUUGAAACUGCCUGCGAUCCUCAGAAUAGUGUCAAAAAUGGGGUAUCUCUGUUUGGUAAAAUUUUAUGAAAAUUUCGAGCAUUGCAAAAUCUGCUGGAGGCUCCGAUAAUUUCUAAAAAAUCACUGGAGGCUCCAAAACGACUUAAAAUCUUACGGUAGUCGACUUCAUAGCGUAUUGAAAUUAGUUUACGGAACAAAUUUUAGAUUUCCAAUUGCUUUUUACGAAAUUUUAAGUUUCUAAAAUCUGUUGUAGGCUCCAGAAAUUUUUGAAAAUUCGCUGAAAGUUCCAAAAUGACUUGAACCAACCUGCAGUCGACUUGAUAGCGUAUUGAAAUAUUGGAGUAGUGGAGUACACAGUGAAUCUUGGAUUUCCAACUCUGUUUGGUAAAUUUUUAUGGAAAUUUCGAGCAUCGAAAUAUCUGCUAGAGUCUCCAGUAAUUUCCAGAAAGUCGCUGGAGGUUCCAAAAUGACUUGAAAUCUACUUGCAGUCGAUUCCCUAGCUUAUUUAAAUUAGUUUACAGAAUAAAUUUUAGCUUUUCAACUGCUUUUGAUGAAAUUUUGUGGAAAUUUUAAGUUUCAAAAAUCUACUGGAGGCUCUAAGAAUUUUUAAAAAGUUGCUGGUGGCCACAAAAUGACUCAACCCCACCAGUAGUCGACUUAAUAGCAUGGUUAAAUUGGAUUGCAGGGUGAAUUUUCACUUUCGCCAACUUCAUUUGAUGAAAUUUUAUGAGAAUUUCGAGUUUCAAAAAAUGCUGGAGGCUCCAAAACUGCUUAAAACGGUUUGAAAUCGUUACCACUUGAUUUGGCAGGUCGAAAAUAGGGUAUGUUCCAAAUUUCAGCUUUGUAGCUCAAUAUGAUAAAAUUUUGAUUUUUCCCUCAUUUUUGAGCUAAAUUUGAUUUUCAAAAAUUCAUCAAAAAUCGAAAAAUAUAAAUUUUAGCUGAAGUGGUCAUGCUUGUAGGAUGUUUGGCGUAGAAUAAUUUUAGUUAAAUCACUUUUUCUGUCGGAUCCUUCAUGUCGGCGAUACACCCGAAAAGCCUGUAUUGGCAAAGGUUAAUAACCUCUUGCGAGGGUAGCCGGCGAGUUGCGGUGUAGCGGGGUGGAACUUUUGAUGGGUUGAUUUAGAGACCAAUCCGAACAAAUAAUGUUAAAUUCAGCUUUCCCCCAAUUUUUUCAAGGUUUGACUAAAAAUUUUGCUAAAAUGACUGGACUAAAAAAGGGUUUCGGAAAAAAUCGUGAUUUUCUCGCUCUAGUCAAUAGUCAUGCACUGGCCAGUUGAAGUAAAAAUAUAUUUGAAGUGAAAAGAGCGCCCAGUACUCACCUGUAAAAUUUUUUUUGCCCCAGAGCCACUUUGAAACUAAGGGUUUUUUUCGUAUUUUCUGUAUCAACUAAGAAUACUAUUACCUAUGAGUCAUGUUGAAUGGGUUAGUUUAUUUUUUGCCUAAUCAAAAAAAAAAAAAAAACAAUUCUUUGAAAAUGAAAAGUGAAUUUCCUGGGUUACAUAUACAUACUAAUUACAUUUGUACCAGACUCGGAUGAUUCAUAACAGAUAAUGUAUUAUGUUUUUUGCCUACGAAUCAGAUAACUCGAGUUCAUUACAGUGACGUAAGAACAAAUUCAUUAAAAAUACCGGGUAUUUAUUGAUAAAGUGUUAAAUUUUGGUGAUAGAUGAAGAAAGUACCUAGAGCUAUUUCAUUCGUAUCUAGCACAACACGCCAAAGUGUCGCAUUACCAAAGAUUCUUAUAAGUGAGCCUGCAGUCGACUUUCUGUUUGGAUUUUUAGUGCCCGCGAGAAGCCUUUGCAACGAAUUCACUUUCAUCUGACUUACUUAAACGAUAAUUUGCAACACUGUGUAGGUAGGUACCUACACGAAUCGUUCUCUGAUCGAGUGAAGCCAAUUAUAAAAGCAUAAGAAAAAUUUCACAAUGACUUAUCCCAGAUAUGUACCAGCUUCUGAAGGAUUCAUACCAGAUGAUGCGCUAAUUGUGGGCCAUGAGUCGAAUAAUUCAAAUUUGUAUGGUAUAAGAGCAGAACAUAACGGAUGCAUCAUCCCAGGAAAAAUUUCAUCAGGAUGUAUACACGCUGUAGUUGGAGAAGAUUCCCUCGAAUAUUAUAAAACUAAUUACGAAGUUCUUUGCAUCGAUUCCAACAAUGUUGAAUGGGUUUCUGCUUUUUGUGGCAGAGUACCAUUGAACGCAAUCCCAGUAGGAAGGCAUUGUAAUGGUGAAAUAUUAUACAUGGGACGAGCUCACUACGAAGGUGCUUUGAUAGCAGGAAAAAUUCAAAGAAGUAGCGGAUUUUUAUUAAUCACGCAUAACCAACUGGAAAUACCGAUCACUAACUAUGAAGUAUUGAGUUUGAAAAACCCAUCAGCGUCUAGGUCUCAGACGCCAUCAUUAACCUCGGUGCGGGCCAUUAGGACAGCAGGAAGAUGAUCCAGAGUCGUGGCGAAUGGUUCCUCAGUCCUUAUGCAUUUCCCAAAAUUGUUUCAUUUUUUUAUAUGUAACUAACAAUAAGUAAUAAAAAUCCCAGUGUAUUUUUAAAUG